rnacentral:rRNA from 1 species
UACGAAGGGGGCUAGCGUUGCUCGGAAUCACUGGGCGUAAAGCGCACGUAGGCGGAUCUUUAAGUCAGGGGUGAAAUCCCAAGGCUCAACCUUGGAACUGCCUUUGAUACUGGGGAUCUCGAGUCCGGAAGAGGUUGGUGGAACUGCGAGUGUAGAGGUGAAAUUCGUAGAUAUUCGCAAGAACACCAGUGGCGAAGGCGGGUCUCUGGGCCGAUACUGACGCUGAGGAGCGAAAGCGUGGGGAGCGAACAGG